GAUGAAGAACGUAGCGAAAUGCGAUAAGUAAUGUGAAUUGCAGAAUUCAGUGAAUCAUCGAAUCUUUGAACGCACAUUGCGCCCGCCAGUAUUCUGGCGGGCAUGCCUGUUCGAGCGUCAUUUCAACCCUCAGGCCCCCAGUGCCUGGCGUUGGGGAUCGACGCGGCGCCCUCCGGGGCGCUGCCGGCCCCGAAAUUCAGUGGCGGUCUCGCUGUAGCCCUCCUCCGCGUAGUAGCACAACCUCGCGGCCUGGAGCUCGGCGGUGGCCAUGCCGUAAAACACCCCACUUCUGAAAGUUGACCUCGGAUCAGGUAGGAAUACCCGCUGAACUUAAGCAUAUCAAUAAGCGGAGGA
rnacentral:misc_RNA from 1 species